UAACGUCGGAGACCUGCAUCGCUUUGGGCUUUCCUCCCACAUUAAGCUGACUCGCCGUAAUAUGACUGGAAUACUGUUAAAAGCGGCGUUAAACCCAACCCAACUCACUCACUCACUCAUUUUAAUGACUGACUAAAAAUCGACCCAUGUCACAACUACACUGCAUUCCGGCUGUUUGUAUUUACGUGUGGUGGAGGGACGUUGUGUAUCAAACCUGUGAAAUACUUACGUUGUAACAAUCUGGGACAUGGUCCACAAAUCGAUCUUAGCGCUACGACUGUUGCAAAGUGUAGGAGUUACGAUCACCUUAGCACCAAGAUAGCUUUGUUCAGUGGGGCCCAGAAGUCAUACCAACACAUACUGGUGAAAAAAGUAGGGAGUAUCGCAACACCCAUCAUCAAAUAAUUGCUUCAGACAAUCAGGAGAUCGGGAGAAAGUAAGGUGAAACAUAGCACAAAGAUAGAAUGAGUUUUAGUGUCUGUUUAUCAAUCAAGAUGACCUAUCAAUGAUGUUCACAGCCUGAUCAGGGCCUGACUAGCAUGCAUCAUGUUGGUUGUGGCUUCGGGAUGUGGAUGGGGUGGGGUUAUGGCUUCAGGAUUGGGGGGUAGGGGGAUGGUGGUUCAGGGGAUUUUGUAUCGAGAUAAGAUAUGUUUUCAGCUACAAAACCAUAUAUUUCUUUAUAGAACAAUGAGUCUGAAUUCUUUUUGAAGGAAAACACAUUGCAACAAUGUAAUUUUUGUGGUAGGCUAUAUUGGGUUUUUGGCCACUGAGGUGUAAUUAUUUUUUUCAAGAAAGUUUGGGGACAAUAUAUUGUUUUAGAUUAAAUCUCUCCGCCCAAUAUGAAAUAGUCGGUCCCAUCCCAUCAAGAAGGAACGAAAUGUGUAUAAUCUUUAUUAUAAGACAUACCCAAGAAAUGCUUAGCCAUUUAAUACAAGACGUUGUGCAUCCAUGUCUUACCACCUUGUAGAUGUGAUGGGGUGGUGUGGUUAAAGUACUGGCUAGUCGUCUGCACUGCCAGAUGUUAUCCCAACAUGGGUUCCUUUGUGUGAAACCCAUUCUGGUUUCCCCUAGUCACUGGUGAUGUGCCCCAUGGGGAUCCAGGGUUAGAACAGUGCCCCAUGGGGAUCCAGGGUUAGAACAGUGCCCCAUGGGGAUCCAGGGUUAGAACAGGUCCCCAUGGGGAUUCAGGGUUAGAACAGGUCCCCAUGGGGAUCCAGGGUUAGAACAGGUCCCCAUGGGGAUGCAGGGUUAGAACAGUGCCCCAUGGGGAUCCAGGGUUAGAACAGUGCCCCAUGGGGAUCCAGGGUUAGAACAGGUCCCCAUGGGGAUCCAGGGUUAGAACAGGUCCCCAUGGGGAUCCAGGGUUAGAACAGGUCCCCAUGGGGAUCCAGGGUUAGAACAGUGCCCCAUGGGGAUCCAGGGUUAGAACAGGUCCCCAUGGGGAUCCAGGGUUAGAACAGGUCCCCAUGGGGAUCCAGGGUUAGAACAGUGCCCCAUGGGGAUCCAUGGUUAGAACAGUGCCCCAUGGGGAUCCAGGGUUAGAACAGGUCCCCAUGGGGAUCCAGGGUUAGAACAGUGCCCCAUGGGGAUCCAGGGUUAGAACAGUGCCCCAUGGGGAUCCAGGGUUAGAACAGGGCCCCAUGGGGAUCCAGGGUUAGAACAGUGCCCCAUGGGGAUCCAGGGUUAGAACAGGUCCCCAUGGGGAUCCAGGGUUAGAACAGUGCCCCAUGGGGAUCCAGGGUUAGAACAGUGCCCCAUGGGGAUCCAGGGUUAGAACAGUGCCCCAUGGGGAUCCAGGGUUAGAACAGUGCCCCAUGGGGAUCCAGGGUUAGAACAGUGCCCCAUGGGGAUCCAGGGUUAGAACAGUGCCCCAUGGGGAUCCAGGGUUAGAACAGGUCCCCAUGGGGAUCCAGGGUUAGAACAGGUCCCCAUGGGGAUCCAGGGUUAGAACAGUGCCCCAUGGGGAUCCAGGGUUAGAACAGUGCCCCAUGGGGAUCCAGGGUUAGAACAGGUCCCCAUGGGGAUCCAGGGUUAGAACAGUGCCCCAUGGGGAUCCAGGGUUAGAACAGUGCCCCAUGGGGAUCCAGGGUUAGAACAGGUCCCCAUGGGGAUCCAGGGUUAGAACAGGUCCCCAUGGGGAUCCAGGGUUAGAACAGGUCCCCAUGGGGAUCCAGGGUUAGAACAGUGCCCCAUGGGGAUCCAGGGUUAGAACAGGUCACCGGCAACCUACAAACACUGUGGAGACUUUCAUUUCAACAUAUCAGCAUAUUCCAUGUCAGUUUGGUUGCCCUUUGAUGUACUGAAGCCAGAUAGUGCCGGGCCUGGAUAGAGACUGGGGUGCACGGUGCUGUGUGGGAGGUCGUGUUUUUUUGUUGAAUAUGUUAUUCAGAGUUAAUAUAUAAACACACAUUUGUAUAUAGAGAUCAUAGUUUUGUAUUCGGGAUUACCCCGUGUGCACCUUGUUAGAAUCUUGUUUAAACAUUCCACACCCAGUUGACGUGUAGAUUGCUUGCAAUGUUUGUCUCAUGGACGCAGCACUGUGUUAUAUGUUGGGAAAGCCUAGUUCGUGGGCCGCAGGACAUGUGACAUGCUGCUGGGUUAUGGUCAUGUGACAUUGCACAGUGAGUGUCACGUGACAUUAUGAAGGUCGUAUGGCACUGUACAGUGUGAAGGUCAUACGACAUUGUAUAUUAUGAAGGUCAUGUGACAUUUUGCAAUGGUCAUGUGACAUUGUACACUUUGAAGGUCAUGUGACCCACAUUGUAAGGUUCAUGUGACAUGUUACAGUCUAAUAGUCAUGUGACAUUAUGCAGUGUGAAGGUCAUGGUCAGAAAUGAUACUUAAUAAUUCCUGGAACACGACACGGUCCCGCCAUUUGUAAUAUUGCCCUAUGUAGACAGUCAUACACUAAUCCUCAUGUCAUGACAUGCGACAUCUGCAGCCUCGUGACAUCUGCAGCCUCGUGACAUCUGCAGCCUCGUGACAUCCUGGGACACACGUAAAGAUCUGGGGUGAAAUACGUCUGAGGCAACCCAUGCUUGCCGAAAAGGCGACUAACAGGAUCGGAUGGUCAGGCUGACUGACUUGGUUGAUCAAUGUCAUCGUCUAUCCCAAUCGCGUGGAUCGAUGCUCAUGAUGUCAAUCACUGGAUUGUCUGGUCCAGACUCAAUCAUUUACAGACUCCGGUCAAUUAGCUGGAAUAUUGCGGAGUGUGGCGAUAAACAACAAACAUACAAACAUCUUAUGAGACAUCUUUAGUGAUGUGACCUCAUCGUCAGGUUAAAACUGGUCCAGCUUUGUCCAUUAUAAACAAUCAGGUCUGUUGUCAAUAUCACAAGCAAUCAAAUUGUAACACGUUUCUCGUACAGUUUGGUCGCGAUCAUCGAAUCGCAGCCUUACUGUCAUGCCGUAUCAGUCAUCCAUUUGUCCAAUGUUUCAUUCUGUGUGGUGUUUUUUCACUGGGUUGGCUUGUCUUGAUUGACAGUGUGUGUUAAACAUAUUCAUUUACGAAGGCAAAGGACACCAUGUUGUAUAGGCGGGGCUGACGUGGGGAUUUUGACCCAUAAUCCUGGGUUUCAGUGUUUCAGCAUUUUAGGCAAUUUUGAGACUACAUUCAUCAUUCAAACAUUUGUUUCUGUUGGCCCCAUAAUAUGUGAAGAAAUGCAAACGUCUGUUCUAGAGUGUCCUUGACAGCUUAUAUGUGUUAUAAUCCCUCACCGUAGGAUGUGUGUCUCUUUGUUCCUGUACAAUAUGACUAAAUGUCAUGUAUACUGCUCAAAAGAAGUGAAGGAACACUCAAUUCUGUUCAUAUCACUAUAGUUUAUCUGUAAUAAGUUAUCGUCAUAUGAAAAAAUGUGUUCUUUACCUUCUUCCGACUAGUAUAUAUGCCAGAUAUUGCUGCAGACAGUGUGCUUCUAUACUGCUCAAAAGUUGAUAGGGAUGCUGUUCUUUGAUACACCAACUGAUAAAUAUAGUCUGAAAUAUCUCAAUAUUCCUAUCAAUAGUUGAGUAGUAUAGUUGCUCUAACAAAUGUCUUGUUAUAAAUACCUGAGGAGCCUUGUUGUUAAUGUGAUGGCUUCGAUUCACAUGAACUAGCUGCCAUCUGUCCCAAACUAAAAUAUAAUUCCUUCCUUAAUUAAAACAGGGGGCACGGACGGCCCAGACGGCCCAGUCGUCUAAGGCACUGCAAUUCACUGUGCAGAGUUGCGUCCCUUGGGCACGCCAGAAACCUAUGAUUGUUGGUUCGAAUCCCGGUUCGCCCCAAUUAUGUUUCUAGGUUUGUCAGCACCAUACCUGUGCUCGUGGGUUUCACCGAAGUGGUAAACGUCUGUGACCUGCAUCACUUCGGGCUUUCCUCCAACAUUAAGCUGACACGCCGUGAUAUAACUGGAAUACUGUUAAAAGCGGCGUUAAACCAAACUCACUCACUCACUCACACUCAUAUCACAAUAGUUUAUCUGUCAUAAGUUAUUGUCAAAUGAAACAAUGUGUUCUUUACCUUCUUCCGAGUAGUAUAUAUGCCAGAUAUUGCUGCGCACAGUGUGCUUCUAUCCUGCUCAAAAAUUGAUAGGGAUGCUGUUCUUUGAUACACCAACUGAUAAAUAUAGUCUGAAAUAUCUCAAUAUUCCUAUCAAUAGUUGAGUAGUAUAGUUGCUCUAACAAAUGUCUUGUUUCCAUCUAUAAAUACCUGAGGAGCCUUGUUGUUAAUGUGAUGGCUUCGAUUCACAUGAACUAGCUGCCAUCUGUCCCAAACUAAAAUAUAAUUCCUUCCUUAAUUAAAACAGGGGGCACGGACGGCCCAGUCAUCUAAGGCACCGCGAUUCGCUGUGCAGAGUUGCGCCCCUUGGGCACGCCAGAAACCUAUGAUUGUUGGUUCGAAUCCCGGUUCGCCCCGAUUAUGUUUCUAGGUUUGUCAGCACCAUACCUGUGCUCGUGGGUUUCACCGAAGUGCUAAACGUCUGUGACCUGCAUCACUUCGGGCUUUCCUCCCACAUUAAGCUGACACGCCGUGAUAUAACUGGAAUACGGUUAAAAGUGGCGUUAAACCCAACUCACUUACUCACUCCUUAAUUAAAACCAAUAUAAUGCCAGUCUAGGAAAAAAAAAAUCAUCUCAAUUUUGCACCUUGCUCAGAAAAACAAAUUUAAUUUCGAGAUUGAAGAUUUUGUUUUGACAGUUCCCACUGUCUGCAGCCAUGCAUAGACUGUGAUAAUCAUUUUGUGCAAUAUCUUGUCCUCAUUGUGUAUGUGUUUGUCACUGCAGUUAUCUCCCUUCUUCUCAUGACCACCAGAUGUCAUGGUAGUUGUGUUGAUAGAUAUACAGGUUAUUCACUGGCGUUCCCUGGCACAGUGUAAGCAGACAGUAUGUCAUAGUAUUUACACUGUAACCUCAGCCUGGCUGUUUUAGCUUGCGUUCUCACAUAGGUGAGGCUUAUUUCCAUACACAAGAUUGUACAUAUUUGUAAGCUCGUAUUUGUGUGUGAUGUGUGUGUAUAUGUAGGAUGUUUGUCGGGGAUACAGCCUUACUGACCUCCACACCUCUCCACUGCCAUGGCAACACAUUACAGGUGCGACGACAUGAGGCCAUUCUGAUAGAGAGUGGGGUGUGUGUGUGUGGGGGAGAAGGACAAGGGUUCAUUGAGUAGCCCAAUGUCCAGUCUAGGUCUAGAUGUUGUAAUUAGAAACGGUCAAUUCAGAAGUUGUGUUUGUGUAAUGAAAGCCAUCAGUUCAAUAUAUUUGUAGGAGGGGUGGGGUGGGGUGGGUUCGGGGUGUAUUUAAAAAAAACCACCUGUUCCUAGAAAAAGAGGGAAGAGUAAUUUUUCCUCAGGUUUUACACACAAAAAUCAAUUGUUCACUGAAAAUGUUGCAUCGUCUGAAAUGUAAUGCACUGUGGGUAAAACCUUUUCAUUACCGCCUUUCAGAAAAUAUAUUUAUGUCUUUUAGCACUAACUGACAAAAAACAAACUGUCUCAAACAAUAAUCCCAUUCCCCCCACCUUCCCAGAGUAUUGUCAGAUUGAUAUAUUUUGUAAUUUUUGUGUGACAUAGGUAUUGAUGGACUUAAAUCCAACUUACUUGGAUUGCUACUAAACCCCAAUCUUGUACCCGUUUAGUCUCUUCAACUCAACACCCCCUGACAUGCAAUCCCCCGUCUAUCCCAACAAUUGACUUCUUCUCUCACAAUGGUGCUGUCAAUGUUGCUAUGAUUUAGUAAGGAGAAUUUGAUAUUGCGUAAAUCAAAAGAUAGCUGUAAUUUCAGAUUGGUAUCUAUUUUUCAGUACUCAGAAUGAUGUCGUAUAUACAUAAAUACGGAUGCAAGAGGUGUAUGUGUAUGAUAUGUUAAUCUCUGAAAUAUCGAAUGUGAGCUUGGAAAUCCCCCUGUGUAGAAUGGCCUCGUAUCGUCCGACCUGAGUGUGUAUAUGCAGACUGUUAUCACUGAUAGCUACGCCAUCCCUAUGAUGACUGCAUCAGUUGGCCAACAUGUUUCUUGAUAUUUUCCAUUGCAGUUUUAGCAACUUUUGCUUCGUCUAUUUUUCAGUUCCAAUUUAUGGGUAUGAGGAAACAGGUCCUGGCUAUAGACAAUGGUGAUGCUUUCACUUUCAGAUGGACUCUGUCCAAAAACAUUUGCAGAGAAGAUGAUUUGUGUUGUAUUGGUGGUGUUGCUCGUUUUAUGUGUCUUUUCUGGAUUAUUUUUAAUAACAUUUGAAUAUUGUACCAUGUAAGAUGGAACUCUAACUGUAACCCAUGAGAGUCAAGGACGCUAAGGAGAGAACAGCUUGUCCAGUUUGGGCGAGUUUGUUCUUAGACCCUGCACUACAAGAAGAUGAAGUUAACAUUUGUUUGAGUAGGUAUCUCAGGGUAUACUGAACAAAGAAUUUGAUCAUGAACAUUUGGGGGGCAUUUCUAUAAAAAAAUUGGGUGCUCAGUCUUCACCCAAAUGUUCAUGAUCCUUGUUUUGUUCAGUAUGUGUACUCAUAAAUAGAUCAGGGUCAUUGACAUCACUUUAAUGACCUUGUCGUUUUGGAAUAUUUACAUCUAAUAUUGGGAGAUGCAUGGGACCCAGAAAGAGUUCCCCCUCAGUCCACACCAGGACCCUGUUGCUUCUCAAUGUGUGGGUGUUGCUCCAGACUGUCACACUUAAACAUGACUGGUUCACUGAGGUCAUUUGUACUUCUGAUGUGGAACAGGGCUGUGGUCCACAGAGGUCAUUUAUUUCUACCUCCUGAUUUGGUUCAGAGCUCUGGUCCCCACAUGAGGUCAUUUGUACUUCUGAUGUGGAACAGGGCUGUGGUCCACAGAGGUCAUUUAUUUGUACCUCCUGAUUUGGUUCAGAGCUCUGGUCCCCACAUGAGGUCAUUUGUUCUUCUGAUGUGGAACAGGGCUGUGGUCCACAGAGGUCACUUAUUUCUACCUCCUGAUUUGGCUCAGAGCUCUGGUCCCCACAUGAGGUCAUUUGUACUUCUGAUGUGGAGCAGGGCUGUGGUCCACAGAGGUCAUUUAUUUCUACCUCCUGAUUUGGUUCAGAGCUCUGGUCCCCACAUGAGGUCAUUUGUACUUCUGAUGUGGAGCAGGGCUGUGGUCCACAGAGGUCACUUAUUUGUACCUCCUGAUUUGGUUCAGAGCUCUGGUCCCCACAUGAGGUCAUUUGUACUUCUGAUGUGGAACAGGGCUGUGGUCCACAGAGGUCACUUAUUUCUACCUCCUGAUUUGGCCCAGAGCUCUGGUCCCCACAUGAGGUCAUUUGUAUCUUGUGAUAAACUCUGAUGUAGAUAGAUAGACCUUUGAGGUGUUCAAGUCCAAACCAGAGGGCCAGACAUCUUAUCUGCCUGUGAUAAUUCCUACUGUUGUCAAGAUCAAAGAUAGAUAUAUAUCAAAGCCAGAUGCUACAUAGUUGAAACAUAAUAUAAUAUGUCACCAUGGUAACCUCUGCUUCAGGCGACAAACGUAUCCCACUCUUGUUUAGUCUUACAGUAAUUUCCGAAUGUGUAUUCAUUUGGUACGUAGUUAUGUAGACAUAUGGGGAAACUUAGGGAUAUAAUUUGUUUCAAUUCUUUUGUGUUUGGGAUAAUCCAAAACAACUCUCCCACCUGACAGGUAUGUCGUUCUUUUGUUGAAGAAUGACUAAAAUUCUGAAUGAAAGUCUGCGAAGGUUGCCAUGGUGACAUGACUUAGCUGAGGCUGUUUUGUCCUGUGAUGUGUCUCCUACCAGUCUUGUAUAUAGUUGUAAGGGGAGUAGUACCUGGAGUUUACGAUGUACAUAGCUGUAAGGGGAGUAGUACCCUUAGUCUACAUUGUACAUAGUACAGAGAACAUUUGCACUGUCAUAUUUUCAUCAUUUUUCUCAGAUUGAAAAAGUAUAUAAACUAUUUCAAAAUA